GUAUUUUGAACAAGCCUAGUGGACAUGGCAUCUGCCCGGUAAGCGGAACAUUGUGGGUUCGAUUCCUAUCCCUGGAUACU